rnacentral:sRNA from 1 species
ACCGUUCUUCGGUCAAGGGUAUACGAGUAGCUGCGCUCCCCUGCUAGAACCUCCAAACAAGCUCUCAAAAUCAUCUGGGUACUUGGAUUUUUAUAAGC